rnacentral:rRNA from 1 species
CGCCUCUUGCAAACACAGAAUAAGAGGUCCCGCCUGCCCUGUGACUAUAUGUUUAACGGCCGCGGUAUUUUAACCGUGCGAAGGUAGCGCAAUCACUUGUCUUUUAAAUGAAGACCUGUAUGAAUGGCAUAACGAGGGCUUAACUGUCUCCUUCUUCAGGUCAAUGAAAUUGAUCUUCCCGUGCAGAAGCGGGAAUAUUCACAUAAGACGAGAAGACCCUAUGGAGCUUUAGACACUAGAGUAUAUCAUGUUAAACAACCCUAAACAAAGGACUUAACUAGAUGAACCAUACCCUUAUGUCUUUGGUUGGGGCGACCGCGGGGAAACAGAAAACCCCCACGUGGAAAGGGGGCACUGCCCCCUACAACCAAGAACUACAGUUCUAACGAACAGAACUUCUGACCAAAUAUGAUCCGGCAAUGCCGAUCAACGGACCGAGUUACCCUAGGGAUAACAGCGCAAUCCUCUUUUAGAGCCCAUAUCGACAAGGGGGUUUACGACCUCGAUGUUGGAUCAGGACAUCCUAAUGGUGCAACCGCUAUUAAGGGUUCGUUUGUUCAACGAUUAAAGUCCU